UCCUUCUUCCUGUCUCUGAAAAUGAAAGUAAAAAAUUGAAAGAACAAAAAAAAAAAAAAACACAGCAUCAUCUUGAUGAUGACCAGGUGUAUCAUGAAUAAGCUAUAAUGGAGUUUGGUCUUAGUCAUUUGAUAGGAAGCUAGACAAGUUGUUAAUAAAAGAGAAGAAGAUCAACGUCCAAUUUUUUUUUGCACUCUCAAUCUAGUAAAUUGUGAUGGUUUUGAAUCUUUUGAUGUUGUUUUUAACUGUCGAAGCUUUAGAUUCUGAAUCAGACGAGAAGAUUGGUCUGUUGGUUGGAUAGAACACUCAUGCUCCUGAAUUUCAUAGUGGUGGUGAUGGUGAAGGCGAGAGUAUGUUGCUGCCUAUUAUGCUACUGGAAUUCUGGGUAAUGAAUCGGGUCGGGACGAGACUGGUAUCCAGUUCGUGGUGAUAUACCUGACCCAUAAUCCGUCGUCUUCUUCACAUACGAGAUUCAAUAUAUACUCUGUUUUAUCAUUCAGUAAAAAUCGAUUCCUUAAUUAUCAAAUUUUCUAUCCUGAAAAUCUCAAUCACUGAAAUGGGUACUAUUUUGUUGUAGUUUAAUGAUAAACUGAAGGAGAUGUACCUUUUAUUGGCUUGGUAAUUCCUUGAAAGUGAUUUGGAAACAGAGAAUUGAUUUUUUUUUUUAUGUUUUUUUAUUGAAAACGAAACUGAAAUUUAUCGAUUAUGAUUGAUCUAAUGGAUAUUGUCAUAGUCUUUGAACUGUGAAUUUUC